rnacentral:tRNA from 1 species
UGGCUCAGAGGUUAAGAGCACUGGCCGCUCUUCCAGAGGUCCUGAGUUCAAUUCUCAG